rnacentral:rRNA from 1 species
GACGAACGCUGGCGGCGUGCUUAACACAUGCAAGUCGAACGGAAAGGCCCUGCUUUUGUGGGGUGCUCGAGUGGCGAACGGGUGAGUAACACGUGAGUAACCUGCCCUUGACUUUGGGAUAACUUCAGGAAACUGGGGCUAAUACCGGAUAGGAGCUCCUGCUGCAUGGUGGGGGUUGGAAAGUUUCGGCGGUUGGGGAUGGACUCGCGGCUUAUCAGCUUGUUGGUGGGGUAGUGGCUUACCAAAGCUUUGACGGGUAGCCGGCCUGAGAGGGUGACCGGCCACAUUGGGACUGAGAUACGGCCCAGACUCCUACGGGAGGCAGCAGUGGGGAAUAUUGCACAAUGGGCGGAAGCCUGAUGCAGCAACGCCGCGUGCGGGAUGACGGCCUUCGGGUUGUAAACCGCUUUCGCCUGUGACGAAGCGUGAGUGACGGUAAUGGGUAAAGAAGCACCGGCUAACUACGUGCCAGCAGCCGCGGUGAUACGUAGGGUGCGAGCGUUGUCCGGAUUUAUUGGGCGUAAAGGGCUCGUAGGUGGUUGAUCGCGUCGGAAGUGUAAUCUUGGGGCUUAACCCUGAGCGUGCUUUCGAUACGGGUUGACUUGAGGAAGGUAGGGGAGAAUGGAAUUCCUGGUGGAGCGGUGGAAUGCGCAGAUAUCAGGAGGAACACCAGUGGCGAAGGCGGUUCUCUGGGCCUUUCCUGACGCUGAGGAGCGAAAGCGUGGGGAGCGAACAGGCUUAGAUACCCUGGUAGUCCACGCUGUAAACGGUGGGUACUAGGUGUGGGGUCCAUUCCACGGGUUCCGUGCCGUAGCUAACGCUUUAAGUACCCCGCCUGGGGAGUACGGCCGCAAGGCUAAAACUCAAAGGAAUUGACGGGGCCCCGCACAAGCGGCGGAGCAUGCGGAUUAAUUCGAUGCAACGCGUAGAACCUUACCUGGGUUUGACAUGGAUCGGGAGUGCUCAGAGAUGGGUGUGCCUCUUUUGGGGUCGGUUCACAGGUGGUGCAUGGCUGUCGUCAGCUCGUGUCGUGAGAUGUUGGGUUAAGUCCCGCAACGAGCGCAACCCUUGUUCACUGUUGCCAGCACGUUAUGGUGGGGACUCAGUGGAGACCGCCGGGGUCAACUCGGAGGAAGGUGGGGAUGACGUCAAGUCAUCAUGCCCCUUAUGUCCAGGGCUUCACGCAUGCUACAAUGGCUGGUACAGAGAGUGGCGAGCCUGUGAGGGUGAGCGAAUCUCGGAAAGCCGGUCUCAGUUCGGAUUGGGGUCUGCAACUCGACCUCAUGAAGUCGGAGUCGCUAGUAAUCGCAGAUCAGCAACGCUGCGGUGAAUACGUUCCCGGG